rnacentral:rRNA from 1 species
CAGCAGUCGCCACGGUAAUACAGAGGAUGCAAGCGUUAUCCGGAAUGAUUGGGCGUAAAGCGUCUGUAGGUGGCUUUUCAAGUCCGCCGUCAAAUCCCAGGGCUCAACCCUGGACAGGCGGUGGAAACUACCAAGCUGGAGUAUGGUAGGGGCAGAGGGAAUUUCCAGUGGAGCGGUGAAAUGCGUUGAGAUCGAAAAGAACACCAACGGCGAAAGCACUCUGCUGGGCCGACACUGACACUGAGAGACGAAAGCUAGGGGAGCAAAUGGGAUUAGAUACCCCUGUAGUCCCUGUCUCUUAUAC